UCUUUCUCUGUGUCCCUCCAGUACCAGGACCCAGUGGCUCAGUAGGAGGUGGAGACCUGACUGUCCCCGUGGUUCUGAUGGGCUGGAUGGUUCUGGUUCUGCUCCUCUUCCUCCUCAGACCCAACAGCCUCAGAGGAUCCCCAUCACCGCCUGCUGGCAAACCUACUGGACCUCACAGUAGUCGUGACCAGGAUCCCCCAGCUCCACCAGUGGACUAGCAGCAGAACCAGACGGAACCGGAGAGAACCAGACGUUCUACUGGACAACCCAACAUCUCCACCGGACGUUCUACUGGACAACCCAACAUCUCCACCGGACGUUCUACUGGACAACCCAACAUCUCCUCCAGACGUUCUACUGGACAACCCAACAUCUCCACCGGACGUUCUACUGGACAACCCAACAUCUCCACCGGACGUUCUACUGGACAACCCAACAUCUCCACCGGACGUUCUACUGGACAACCCAACAUCUCCACCGGACGUUCUGCCCGUUCUACGUUGGUACCCCGGAACCCAAUAGCUUGGCUGCGACCUCCGACCCCUGUACAUCACAAUGCAUUUCCUGUUUAGUGCACUACUUUAGACCAGAGCCCUAUGAGGUAGUGCACUACUUUAGACCAGAGCCCUAUGGGGGUAGUGCACUACUUUAGACCAGAGCCCUAUGGGGGUAGUGCACUACUUUAGACCAGAGCCCUAUGGGGUAGUGCACUACUUUAGACCAGAGCCCUAUGGGGUAGUGCACUACUUUAGACCAGAGCCCUAUGGGGUAGUGCACUACUUUAGACCAGAGCCCUAUGGGGUAGUGCACUACUUUAGACCAGAGCCCUAUGGGGUAGUGCACUACUUUAGACCAGAGCCCUAUGGGGUAGUGCACUACUUUAG